rnacentral:hammerhead_ribozyme from 1 species
GUCCGGCUGAAGAGUCUCAAGUAGGACGAAACACGCGUCCUGGAU